rnacentral:rRNA from 1 species
GAACGAACGCUCGCGACGUGCCUAACACAUGCAAGUCUAGCGGGCCUGGGGCAACCCAGGUCAGCGGCAGACGGGUGCGUAACACGUGGGUAAUCUGCCCUCGAGUGGGGAAUAACACGGGGAAACUCGUGCUAAUACCGCAUGACAUCAUCUGGUCCCUGGAUCGGGUGAUCAAAGCUGGGGAAACCUGGCGCUUGAGGAGGAGCCCGCGGCCGAUUAGCUAGUUGGCGGGGUAAUGGCCCACCAAGGCAACGAUCGGUAGCCGGCCUGAGAGGGUGUCCGGCCACACUGGGACUGAGACACGGCCCAGACUCCUACGGGAGGCAGCAGUGAGGAAUUAUGCGCAAUGGGGGAAACCCUGACGCUGCGACGUCGCGUGGGUGAUGAAGGUCUUCGGAUCGUAAAACCCUGUCGAGAGGGGCGAACAGCUCGGGUGCUAAUACCACCCGGGCCUGACGGUACCUCUGGAGGAAGCCCCGGCUAACUCCGUGCCAGCAGCCGCGGUAAUACGGAGGGGGCGAGCGUUGUUCGGAAUUACUGGGCGUAAAGCGCGCGUAGGCGGUCAUGUAAGUCGGAUGUGAAAGCCCUCAGCUCAACUGAGGAACUGCGUCCGAUACUGCUUGGCUUGAGUCCGGUAGGGGAUGGCAGAAUUCCCGGUGUAGCGGUGGAAUGCGUAGAUAUCGGGAGGAAUACCGAUGGCGAAGGCGGCCAUCUGGGCCGGAACUGACGCUGAUGCGCGAAAGCUAGGGGAGCAAACAGGAUUAGAUACCCUGGUAGUCCUAGCUGUAAACGAUGGGCACUUGAUGUCGCGGGUUUCUACCCCUGCGGCGUCGGAGCUAACGCGUUAAGUGCCCCGCCUGGGGAGUACGGUCGC